UCCCUGACCCAUCGAGCGAAAUUGCGCCGAAAAUGAUCGGGACUUAAGCCGUAUACCGAAGCUAUGGGUUUACCGUAAGGUAAGCAGUAGGAAAGCGUUCCAAGUGCAGCGAAGUGGAAGGGUAACCGACCAUGGAGCGCUUGGAAGUGAGAAUGCAGACAUAAGUAACGAUAAAGAUGGUUGAAUUCCAUCUCGCCUAAAUCCCAAGGAUUCCUGGGGAAGGUUCGUCCUCCCAGGGUUAGUCGGGUGCUAAGACGAGGCCGUAAGGAGUAGUCGAUGCCAAGCUGGUUUAAUAUUCCAGCACCACUCGAAACCGUUUGAUCCAUAGAGUGACGGAGAAAGUUAACAGAGCAACGUGUUGAAUCGUUGUCUACGCUCGUAGGCUGUUCGGGGAUAAAAUACCGAAUAAGGCCGUAAAGUAAUGGGACCUCAAAGCUACGGCUGAGAGGGAUUCUGUGAUACUAUGCUUCCAAGAAAAACUUUGUGGUUAGGCCAAGAGUGCCCGUACCGUAAACCGACACAGGUGGGAAAGAUGAGUAUUCUAAGGCGCGCGAGUCAAAUCUCUCUAAGGAACUCGGCAAAUUAACCCCGUAUCUUCGGUAUAAGGGGUGCCUCGAAAGAGGCCGCAGUUAAUUGCGUCAACCGACUGUUUAGCAAAAACACAGCACUCUGCUAAGUCGCAAGACGACGUAUAGGGUGUGACACGUGACCAAUGCGGAAAGGUGAAAGUCUAGGGUGCAAGCUCUGGAUCUAAGCCCCCGUGAAUGUCGGCCGUAACUAUAACGGUCCUAAGGUAGCGAAAUUCCUUGUCGGGUAAGUUCCGACCCGCACGAAUCGUGUAACGAGUUGACGACUGUCUCGGAGAGAGGCUCGGUGAAAUUGUAGUGGCGGUGAAGAUGCCGCCUACCCGCAGCAGGACGGAAAGACCCUAUGCACCUUUACUGUAAGCUGUUAUUGUCGCUUGAUUUUUAAUACGUAGAAUAGGUGGGAGACUUCGAAGCUUGGUCUCAGGAUCAGGCUGAGUCACAAUGUGAAAUACCACUUUUUAAUUGUUAGGCGUCUAACCUCACACCAUUAUCUGGUUGAGGGACAGUGAUAGCAGGUCAGUUUUUCUGGGGCGGAAUCCUCCCAAAAAGUAACGGAGGAUUACGAAGGUUCCCUCGGCCCGGUCGGUAAUCGGGCUAUAGAGCGCAUGAGUAUAAGGGAGCUUUACUGUGAGACCAACAAGUCGAGCAGUUGCGAAAGCAGGUUCAAGUGAUCCGGUGGUUGAAUGUGGAAUCGCCAUCGCUCAUAGGACAAAAGGUACGCUAGGGAUAACAGGCUGAUCGCGCCCAAGCGUUCACAGCGACGGCGCGGUUUGGCACCUCGAUGUCGGCUCAUCACAUCCUGGGGCUAAAAG
rnacentral:rRNA from 1 species